UACGUAGGGGGCAAGCGUUGUCCGGAUUUACUGGGCGUAACGAGCGUGUAGGCGGCCAAGCAGGUCCGUUGUGAAAACUGGAGGCUUAACCUCCAGACGUCGACGGAAACCGCGUGGCUAGAGUCCGGAAGAGGAGAGUGGAAUUCCUGGUGUAGCGGUGAAAUGCGCAGAUAUCAGGAAGAACACCAAUGGCGAAGGCAGCUCUCUGGGACGGUACUGACGCUGAGACGCGAAAGCGUGGGGAGCGAACAGG
rnacentral:rRNA from 1 species